AAUAGAUACCCGGUAGUCCACGCCGUAAACGAUGAGUGCUAAGUGUUAGAGGGUUUCCGCCCUUUAGUGCUGCAGCAAACGCAUUAAGCACUCCGCCUGGGGAGUACGGUCGCAAGACUGAAACUCAAAGGAAUUGACGGGGGCCCGCACAAGCGGUGGAGCAUGUGGUUUAAUUCGAAGCAACGCGAAGAACCUUACCAGGUCUUGACAUCCCGUGACAACUCUGGAGACAGGGCGUUCCCCUUCGGGGGACACGGUGACAGGUGGUGCAUGGUUGUCGUCAGCUCGUGUCGUGAGAUGUUGGGUUAAGUCCCGCAACGAGCGCAACCCUUGAUCUUAGUUGCCAGCAUUCAGUUGGGCACUCUAAGGUGACUGCCGGUGGCAAACCGGAGGAAGGUGGGGAUGACGUCAAAUCAUCAUGCCCCUUAUGACCUGGGCUACACACGUGCUACAAUGGAUGGUACAAAGGGCAGCAAAACCGCGAGGUUGAGCCAAUCCCAUAAAACCAUUCUUAGUUCGGAUUGCAGG
rnacentral:rRNA from 1 species